GACGAACGCUGGCGGCGUGCUUAAUACAUGCAAGUCGAACGAACAGACGCUGCUUUUGUUGGUUUCUCGAUUGGCGCACGCGUGUGUGUAACGUGUGUAACCCUCCCUUAACUGUCUGAUAUCUUUUGGAAACUGCGGCUAUAACACGGUAUGAUCUCCUGCUCCAUGUUGUUGGUUGGAAAGAUUCGGCGGUUGGGGAUGGACUCGCGGCUUCUCCGCUUGUUGGUGUGGUAGUGGCUUACCAAGGCUUUGACGGGUAGCCGGCCUGAGAGGGUGACCGGCCACAAUGCGACUGAGAGACGGCCCAGACUCCUACGGGAGGCAGCAGUGGGGAAUAUUGCACAGUGGGCGGAAGCCUGAUGCAGCAACGCCGCGUGCGGGAUGACGGCCUUCGGGUUGUAAACCGCUUUGGCCGGAGACGAAGCGUGAGUGACGGUAAUGGGUAAAGAAGCACCGGCUAACUACGUG
rnacentral:rRNA from 1 species